GGAGGGCUGUAGCUCAGAGGUAGAGGCUCUGCCUUACAUCUAGGAGGUCUCAGGUUCAAUCCCCGGCGUCUCCA